GCUUUCGUGGGGUAGUGGUCAGCACACUCGACACCUAUUCGAGAAGUCCGUGGUUCGAUUCCCGGCGAGGGCA
rnacentral:tRNA from 1 species